ACUAAUUGGAGAUCAUUCAUUGUUGAUUUAAUCACUAGAAAAACCAUAAGUUAAGGGCUAUAUGCGCUUCACACUACCUUGAGGGUGACAAACGCUAGCCACCAAGUUAUAUCUACUACGGAUUAAUCGGAGUCCGACGAGGCAGCAAGGGCCUGCCAUUGUCAGCAUUGUCUUGGCUCCAACCGAACAGAACAGUUGCCUUUCUCUCUAUCAUAAGCUAAGUCUUAUACUUGCCAUCAUAAAAACUGCUCAACCUUUCUAUGCUUUGAUGGGGGGUCUGGAUUUGACAGCAGAAAUUUAAUCUCUCUUUGAAGAAAUUUAAUCUCUUUUUUUGAAUCAGUUAGGGAUAUAUGAAAAUCAAAGAUGUAUAUGCGAUUAUUCUCUUAUUGCAGUUGCUCUUUCUUUGGAAAAUGCUUAUAUGUGGGCAUAUGAAAUGCGAUUAAUGAUGUUUUUCUCAUGAAUUAAACUAUUCCUUGUCUCAUAAGAAAAUUUCUUUUUGUGAAUGCCUAUUGGUGUGGAGUAAGGGCUCUGUUGAAAUGCGAAAAGAAUUUCAAUGUGUAUUCUGAUAUUGGUCUAAAGAUUGAGGAUAUUUUGAUAUUUGGAUAUUCUUUGGUAUUUUAAUAUCAUUAGCUUAGAUUUAUUGCUGUUUUGAAUUAUGGAAUUGAACAUUACAAUUGUUGGGAUAGGACCGUGGAGAUAUAUGUCUUUAUGUGCAUAAACGAGUUAUUAUGGGGCAUUUAAAUUAACUUCUUAUAAUUUGGUUUUGAUGUUCGUGGGGCCUUAUUUGAAUUUUGGUGAUUGAAUUUGAGUUUAUUGGUUGGUUAUGAUGAUUUACAUCUUGCGAUAGUACUAUGAUUUUGCUUUGGUUUUGGGAUUGAUUUUGUGGGACUAGGACCAUCAAGACUAAUCAAUUACUCUAAUGUUUUAGAGCACAGGAAGUACAUGCGUUACAACACAGGAAGUACAUGAAUUACAAUAAAUUAUUCCAACACCUGAGUCUUAGGAAGCUCGCCUGCUAUUACGGAGUAAUUUCUUAUUUUCAGGGCAUGAAGUUCUUGGGGUAUCAAGCUCGCUGCAGCGCUGAUACAACGUAAGGAGGGAGAGAGUACUUUAUCUGCGCUAAGACAGUGCGCUAAUGCAGAGCAGGGAGGGAGAAGGGUAGUUCAUCAGCUCGCCGAAGCAGCGCACUGAGGGAGAGGGCAGUUCAUCGACUGCGCUGAUGCAGCGCAGGGAGGGAGAAGGGUAGUUCAUCAUCAGCUCGCUGAGUAUUAAGCUCUCAGUGUUCAGUCCUACAUUUAAUAUCUUAUCAAAUGCAUAUUUUCUGUGGGUGGUGAAAUUCACAUCAGUCUAUUACUCUUCGUUUUCGCUGCGAGAAUUUAUAGUGGACGGUGGCGAUAGCCACAAUUGCCAGCGCUGCCAUUCAAUCUCUGGUGUUCUCUGUUGCUACCCUGCGCCGUUCAAGCCGAUGGACAUUCUAAACUUACAACACUCACUAUGCUAAAAUUAUAUCAGGGAAGAAUCUUUCAUUGAGUGCUGGCAUAUAUCUUUAUUCUUGUUUAUAUAUCUAUAGUUUCAAUAUUGCUUGAGAGGGGCUGUAAUCUUGUUUAUACGUCUAUGCUAAGCUAGUUAUUGUCAGUCUAUCAUGAAUAUCGAUCUGUGGGAUUAUGUUUGAUUACGUUGCUUAAAGUCUACUAUUUAGGAUCUGAAUAUGUAGUUUAAAUAUCAACGUUGACAUUCUUUUAAUAGUACCAGCGCAGGAAUUAUAUAUAUACCUAUGUACAGAUUCCUGAGUUUGUGAGCUUGAUAUUGCUAUGGUUUUCUUCUGGUUUCGGGCUUGAUAUUGCUGUGGUUUAGCUCAAAGUUUGGACUGAAUGAUAUGAUUUGGCUUUGAUCUUAGCUCAGCGCUGAAGAGGGCAGCGCAGGCGAGGGCCUUUAAGGGCAGUGCAGGCAUGGCAGUAAAUCCUCGAGGGCAGCGCAAUACCGUAGUCU
rnacentral:lncRNA from 1 species